GGAUAAUCUCGGGAAACUGAGGAUAAUACUCCAUAGAUCUAGGAUGCUGGAAUGCAUCUAGAUUUAAAGCUCCGGCGCCUAAGGAUGAGUCUGCGGACUAUCAGGUUGUAGUCAGGGUAAAGACCUGACUAGCCUACGACGGAUACGGGUUGUGAGAGCAAUAACCCGGAGACGAUAUCUGAGACACGAUAUCGGGCCCUACGGGGCGCAGCAGGCGCGAAAACUUCACACUGUGCGGAAGCGCGAUGAGGGAAUCCCAAGUGUUUGCUCGUAAGAGCAAACUGUUUCUUUGUUUAAAACGCAGAGAGAGUAAGGGCUGGGUAAGACGGGUGCCAGCCGCCGCGGUAAUACCUGCAGCUCAAGUGGUGAUCAUUAUAUUGGGCCUAAAACGUCCGUAGCCGGUUCAGUAAAUGCCUGGGUAAAUCGUGUAGCUUAACUAUACGACUUCCGGGUAGACUGCUAAACUUGAGACCGGGAGAGGCUAGAGGUACCUCCUGGGGUAGAGGUGAAAUUCUGUAAUCCUAGGGGGACCACCAGUGGCGAAGGCGUCUAGCUAGAACGGGUCUGACGGUGAGGGACGAAGCCCUGGGGCACAAACCGGAUUAGAUACCCGGGUAGUCCAGGGUGUAAACGCUGCUUGCUUGAUGUUAGUUGGGCUCCGAGCCCAACUAGUGUCGGAGAGAAGUUGUUAAGCAAGCUGCCUGGGAAGUACGGUCGCAUGACUGAAACUUAAAGGAAUUGGCGGGGGAGCACAGCAACGGGUGGAGCGUGCGGUUUA
rnacentral:rRNA from 1 species